GGCGCCGUGGCUUAGUUGGAUAAAGCACAUGUCUAGUAAACAGGAGAUCACGAGUUCGAAUUUCGUCGGUGCCU
rnacentral:tRNA from 1 species